AGACGGUACCUAAUAAAAUAAUAAAUUGGUGGUUGGUGCAGUUAAAGAUUAAUUUUUCAAAAAUUGAAGGCAUUGUUGACGAUGUAGACUUCUGUGUCAAGCUGGCCAAAGAAGAAUCCGUAGUUCUACUUCCUGGUGCGACUGUUGGGCUAAAGAAUUGGAUUCGAAUCACAUAUGUUGUUGAUCCUUCUGCUCUCAAAGAGGGCCUUUCAAGGAUCAAAUCUUUCAGCCUUCGCCAUGCCAUCCAGUUGCCAUAAACAAAACAAUAUCCAUAUCAAUAAUUUGUUGUGAGUUUUAGCUUUUAAGGAAAGUUAUAGUAAUUUACAAAUGUAUCCUAAGUGUAGAAAUUAAAGGUUGGCAAUAUCGUCAAUUUGACAAGUGAGUCUAGCUAGCCAGAUUUUUGUCAAGAAUUUUCCUUACUAAUUGCAAAUAUAUGUUGAAAUUAGAGAGGUAAUGUGCUGUGUGCUUGUGACAUCCUACCACACUGUUUUGCUUUCACAUGGAUAUGAUAUGAUAUUAUGCUAUGAUGCCACUUAGGGUGAAAAUAGACCAAUCGAGCUGAGUAUUAAUUUAGACUAAUUUGGCCUAUGUUAUAAAUAUAUAGCUCAAGUUUAGGU